rnacentral:rRNA from 1 species
UACAGAGGGUGCGAGCGUUAAUCGGAAUUACUGGGCGUAAAGCGUGCGUAGACGGUAGCGUAAGUCAGAUGUGAAAGCCCCGGGCUUAACCUGGGAAUGGCAUUUGGGACUGCAAGGCUAGAGUGCGGCAGAGGAGACUGGAAUUCCUGGUGUAGCAGUGAAAUGCGUAGAUAUCAGGAGGAAUACCGAUGGCGAAGGCAGGUCUCUGGGCUGACACUGACGCUCAUGCACGAAAGCGUGGGGAGCAAACAGG